ACGAUGGUCAAGAAAGUCUCUGAUUAAGUGUCAUUUGAGCAGAGAAUGUGCUAGGAAGCUCUAUGGAGGAACAGCAUUCCAGGGAGAUGGAAUCACAAAUGCAAAGAUUCCGAGGUGGAAGCAUGCUUGCUUUGUUCCGGGAACACAAGGAAGUCAGUGUGUCUAGAGGGGUGCACAGGGAGUGGCACGGCAAAGGGAAUUGCCCCUCAGGAGCAGAGGGUUAUGUCAGAGGGGAGGCGCGAACCAGGUCGCAUAGCACAUUCUAGGAUGUAAUGAGUGUGGAUUCUAUGUUGCCAUGGGAAGCCAGCAUCCUUGCACGAGGUGGUUAAGUGCUGAGAGAAGAUAAAUCAGAUUAAGGGGCUAGAGAGAGACUGGAAGCCUGGGGAAGCUAUUUGAAACAAACGGGCAGAGGAGCUCUCUCUGAGGAAGUGACUUUAGGGCUGAGUCUUGAAAUAUCUGAAGUAGCGACCAUGCAGAUUUCUGGGAUAAGCCAGUUCCAGGCAGAAAAAAUAGCACUGAAGUGGGAAUAAGCAUCACAUAUCCUGGAAAGAGCAAGAAGGUCAGCGUGGCCAGGGCACAAUACCAGAGGAAGCAGGGGGAGGAGGCCAGCCCUGUGGAGGCCGUGGGACGGUACUUGGCUUUUAUUCUAAAUACACUGGGAAGAUUUUCGAGGACUCUUGCUUGUUUUUCGAGGGAACUGGCUGAAAACCCAGUAGAUUUUGGUGGCUGUUCUUGACUAAGAAGAGUGUGGAACAAAGUCACAGAGCCACGGCCCCAGACAAGACCUGGAUGAAGCGCUACAGCCUGGUAGUGCCAAGACUGGGAGGGAAACAGAAGAGCACUAUGAGACAGAAUCCAGAAGCAAGGAGAGGAAGGAAAGGCCUUGGACCCCCUAAGGAGAAGGAGGGUAAACACACAGGAGCAGGAUUGCUGGGUCAUAUGAAUGCACAUUUUUCCCCCUGGAUUGCAAAUAAUCUGAACCAGGGUAAAACCAUUACAAAGUGGCCUUCAAACAUCAUGUCUGUAUUGGAACUGAAUGAUUGAUCAGACAUUUAAAUACGGAAACUGGGAAUUCAGCUGACCAGAAUUUCACCAGGGUGACAUGACAGUUUGUUGCUAAGGAACUGAAGACUAUGUCAUAAGUGAGCAUUCUGAUGAAGAGGAGUGAACAGUUUGCAGCAGAUUGGAUAUUAAGUAUAAAUCAGCUCUCUGUGUAUGUCCUUGUGUGGUGGUAUAACUGACAACAGGUAGGGUUCCUGAUGGGAUUGGGUUCCACCAAUCAGAGCCACUUGCAUGAGACCUCAACUGAGAGCCAGGUGUUUGAAGAGGAGGGGCUCACUCUAAAUCUUGAAGAUGUUCAGCCUCGAAAAAGUAGAAGUCAUUGUGACCAAAGAUGAUGCCACCAUGCCUUUGAAAAAGAAAGGUGAUGAGCCUCAAAUGGAAAAAUACAUUCAAGAAAGGUCAAUGCUAAGAAAUAAAGAGAAAGAUGAAGAAAGGAUCACAUAAAGCUGAUGGGAAGAGAAUAAGGUGGACAUAGUAAGACAUCUGAGGCUGAAAAGGGAGGAAGUAGCAAGUGCACAGGAUGGAGCAGAGCAUGGGAAGAGCAUGGACCCAGCCCUGUGCCCCUAGGCUGGGUCAGCUCGGGGCUUCCAUUUCCUCCUCUGUAAAAUAUCUGCCUUUCAGGAUUAGUAAAAGGAUUAAAUAAAAUAAUAACCUCGUACAGAUCCUGGAAAUUUUUUCCAUGGCUCCUUCACUCACUUUUUUUUAUUUUUUUUAAUUUUACAGACAGGGACUCACUCUGUUGCCCAGGCUGAAAUGUAGUGGCAACAUCAUAGCUCACUAUCACCCUGAACUCCUGGACUCAAGGGAUCCUCCUGCCUCAGCUUCCCAAGUAGCUAGGACUACAGGCGUGCACCAUCAUGUCCAGCUAACUUUUUAAAAAAAAUCUUUUGGAGAGACAGAGUCUCAGUAUGUUGCCCAAGAUCUCAAGCUCCGGGGCUCAAGUGAUCCUCCUGCCUCCACCUCCCAAAGUGCUGGGAUUACAGGUGUGAGCCACCGCACCUGGCUCUUCACUCACUUUGUUCAGAUCUCCACUCAGUUGCCACAACCUCCCUGGCUGCUCCAGCUGAAAUAGCACAGCCCCAUCUCCAUCCCUCUCUAAUCCCAUACCCAACUCCAGUCGGCCUACUUUCCUUUGUUCACUCUGCAUUCUCAAGGCCUAGAAGAGUUCCUGGCAUGCAGUGGGUACUCAGGAAUAUGAGCGGAGUGUGGCAGGGCGUUGUCGCUGAACACCAGCAUCCUGCAUCCUGGGCAGGCUGUCUUCAGUGCGGGUGUUCCAGAUAGCUUGGGGAGCCUGCUUAGGACAUAG
rnacentral:lncRNA from 1 species